rnacentral:rRNA from 1 species
GCACUUGAGCUUGCUCCGCUGCCGAGUGGCGCAACGGGUGAAAAUGCCGCAGAGCGUGCCGUGCCGGGGGGGAUAACCUGUCGAAAGGGGCGCUUAUACCGCGUACGUACUGUGGGAGAAAGGGGGGGACCGCCAGGCCUUGCGCUAUUGGAGGGGUCGAUGUCUGAUUAGCUAGUGGGUGAGGUAAGGGCUCAUCAAGGCCACGAUCAGUAGGAUGUCUGACAACAUGAUCCCUCACACUGGGACUGAAACCCGGCCCAAACUCCUACGGGAGGAUAUUGUGGGGAAUUUUGGACAAUGGGCGAAACCCUGAUCCUGCCAUGCCGCGUGCGUGAAGAAGGCCUUCGGGUUGUAAAGGACUUUUGUCUGGGAGGAAAAGCCCGGCGCUAAUAGACGUUGCUGAUGAAAGUACCACCAGAAUACUCACCGGCUAACUCCGUGCCAAUACCCGCGGUAAUACCUAGGGUGCAAGCGAUUAUCGGAAUUACUGGGCGUAAAGCGUGCGCAGGCGGUUUGUUAAGACACAUGUGAAAUCCCCGGGCUCAACCUGGGAACUGCAUUUGUAACUGGCAAGCUAGAGUGGGGCAGAGGGGGGUGGAAUUCCGCGUGGAGCAGAGAAAUGCAUAAAUAUGCGGAGGAACACCGAUGGCGAGGGCCACCCCCUGCGCCUCACACUGACACUCAUGCGGAAAAGCGUGGAUAGCAUACACGGAUUAGAUCCCCUCGGUAGUCCACGCCCUAAAC